UCGAACGAUGAACCACUUCGGUGGGGAUUAGUGGCGAACGGGUGAGUAACACGUGGGCAAUCUGCCCUGCACUCUGGGACAAGCCCUGGAAACGGGGUCUAAUACCGGAUACUGAUCGCCUUGGGCAUCCUUGGUGAUCGAAAGCUCCGGCGGUGCAGGAUGAGCCCGCGGCCUAUCAGCUUGUUGGUGAGGUAAUGGCUCACCAAGGCGACGACGGGUAGCCGGCCUGAGAGGGCGACCGGCCACACUGGGACUGAGACACGGCCCAGACUCCUACGGGAGGCAGCAGUGGGGAAUAUUGCACAAUGGGCGAAAGCCUGAUGCAGCGACGCCGCGUGAGGGAUGACGGCCUUCGGGUUGUAAACCUCUUUCAGCAGGGAAGAAGCGAAAGUGACGGUACCUGCAGAAGAAGCGCCGGCUAACUACGUGCCAGCAGCCGCGGUAAUACGUAGGGCGCGAGCGUUGUCCGGAAUUAUUGGGCGUAAAGAGCUCGUAGGCGGCUUGUCGCGUCGGUUGUGAAAGCCCGGGGCUUAACCCCGGGUCUGCAGUCGAUACGGGCAGGCUAGAGUUCGGUAGGGGAGAUCGGAAUUCCUGGUGUAGCGGUGAAAUGCGCAGAUAUCAGGAGGAACACCGGUGGCGAAGGCGGAUCUCUGGGCCGAUACUGACGCUGAGGAGCGAAAGCGUGGGGAGCGAACAGGAUUAGAUACCCUGGUAGUCCACGCCGUAAACGGUGGGCACUAGGUGUGGGCGACAUUCCACGUCGUCCGUGCCGCAGCUAACGCAUUAAGUGCCCCGCCUGGGGAGUACGGCCGCAAGGCUAAAACUCAAGGAAUUGACGGGGGCCCGCACAAGCGGCGGAGCAUGUGGCUUA
rnacentral:rRNA from 1 species